AUUGAACGCUGGCGGCAGGCCUAAUACAUGCAAGUCGAACGGUGUCUUCGGACAUAGUGGCGCACGGGUGCGUAACACGUAUGCAACCUACCUUACAUUGGGGGAUAGCCUUUCGAAAGGGAGAUUAAUACCGCAUAAGACAGUAGCUGGGCAUCCAGCAGCUGUUAAAGAUUUAUCGAUGUAAGCUGGGCAUGCGUCCAAUUAGCUAGUUGGUGAGGUAACGGCUCACCAAGGCAAUGAUUGGUAGGGGAACUGAGAGGUCAAUCCCCCACACUGGCACUGAGAUACGGGCCAGACUCCUACGGGAGGCAGCAGUAGGGAAUAUUGGGCAAUGGACGCAAGUCUGACCCAGCCAUGCCGCGUGCAGGAUGAAGGCGUUAUGCGUUGUAAACUGCUUUUAUACAGGAAGAAACGACUCUUGCGAGAGGCAUUGACGGUACUGUAUGAAUAAGCACCGGCUAACUCCGUGCCAGCCGCCGCCGUAAAAC
rnacentral:rRNA from 1 species